rnacentral:rRNA from 1 species
CUUGGCUGGUUUGAGCUCGUGUCGUGAGAUGUUGGGUUAAGUCCCGCAACGAGCGCAACCCUUUUCCUUAUUUGCCAGCGGGUUAAGCCGGGAACUUUAAGGAUACUGCCAGUGACAAACUGGAGGAAGGCGGGGACGACGUCAAGUCAUCAUGGCCCUUACGACCAGGGCUACACACGUGCUACAAUGGUCGGUACAAAGGGUUGCUACCUAGCGAUAGGAUGCUAAUCUCAAAAAGCCGAUCGUAGUCCGGAUUGGAGUCUGCAACUCGACUCCAUGAAGUCGGAAUCGCUAGUAAUCGCGGAUCAGAAUGCCGCGGUGAAUACGUUCCCGGGCCUUGUACACACCGCCCGUCACACCAUGGGAAUUUGUUGCACCAGAAGUAGGUAGUCUAACCGCAAGGAGGACGCUACUCUCC